AUCUCUGGGUAGCUCAGUUGGUUAGAGCAUGGCACUAAUGACACCAAGGUUGCAGGUUCAAUCCCUGUAUGGGACA
rnacentral:tRNA from 1 species